rnacentral:rRNA from 1 species
AUUGAACGCUGGCGGCAGGCCUAACACAUGCAAGUCGAGCGGAUGAAGGGAGCUUGCUCCUGGAUUCAGCGGCGGACGGGUGAGUAAUGCCUAGGAAUCUGCCUGGUAGUGGGGGAUAACGUCCGGAAACGGGCGCUAAUACCGCAUACGUCCUGAGGGAGAAAGUGGGGGAUCUUCGGACCUCACGCUAUCAGAUGAGCCUAGGUCGGAUUAGCUAGUUGGUGGGGUAAAGGCCUACCAAGGCGACGAUCCGUAACUGGUCUGAGAGGAUGAUCAGUCACACUGGAACUGAGACACGGUCCAGACUCCGACGGGAGGCAGCAGUGGGGAAUAUUGGACAAUGGGCGAAAGCCUGAUCCAGCCAUGCCGCGUGUGUGAAGAAGGUCUUCGGAUUGUAAAGCACUUUAAGUUGGGAGGAAGGGCAGUAAGUUAAUACCUUGCUGUUUUGACGGUACCAACAGAAUAAGCACCGGCUAACUUCGUG